AAUCCGGAGUUCACUUCAAAGUUUUGCCUAAAAUUAGGCGGAGGCUAAAUUAUCUUAUAUAUCAGCAAGAUAUGCGACCAACUUGGCAUUUCUAGAUUUUUUCACAUUCACAAGGCAUCAAAAUUUUUAUGCUUCUGAUCGUCAUCAAAUAAUAGCAUAAUGUGUUAGUGAACCAAAAAAUAAUAAUAAUAAUAGCAUCAUGUGUAACAAUCGUAGCUGUGAGAG
rnacentral:lncRNA from 1 species